UACGUAGGCAGCGAGCGUUGUUCGGAGUUACUGGCGUAAAGGGUGUGUAGGCGGUUGCUUAAGUUUGGUGUGAAAUCUCCCGGCUCAACUGGGAGGGUGCGCCGAAUACUGAGUGACUCGAGUGCGGGAGAGGAGAGUGGAAUUCCUGGUGUAGCGGUGAAAUGCGUAGAUAUCAGGAGGAACACCGGUGGUGUAGACGGCUCUCUGGACCGUAACUGACGCUGAGACACGAAAGCGUGGGUAGCAAACAGG
rnacentral:rRNA from 1 species